rnacentral:rRNA from 1 species
CCUACGGGAUGCAGCAGUGAGGAAUAUUGGUCAAUGGUCGGAAGGCUGAACCAGCCAAGCCGCGUGAAGGACGAAGGUACCAAGCAUCGUAAACCUCUUUUGUCAAGGGACAAAAUCAGGCUCGCGUCCCCGAAUGAGUGUACCUAAAGACAAAGCAUCGGCUAACUCCGUGCCAGCAGCCGCGGUAAUACGGAGGCUGCGAGCUUUAUCCGGAUUUAUUGGGUUUAAAGGGUGCGCAGGGGGCAUGUUAAGUCAGCGGUAAAAGCGCGGGGCUCAACCCCGGCGAGCCGUUGAAACUGGCAGUCUUGAGUUGGCGAGAGGUAUGCGGAAUGCGCAGUGUAGCGGUGAAAUGCUUAGAUAGGGCGCAGAACUCCGAUUGCGAAGGCAGCAUACCGGCG